GAUGAACGCUGGCGGCGUGCCUAAUACAUGCAAGUCGAGCGAACAGACGAGGAGCUUGCUCCUCUGACGUUAACGGCUGACGGGUGAGUAAGACGUCGAUAACCUACCUAUAAGACUGGGAUAACUUCGGGAAACCGGAGCUAAUACCAGUUAAUAUAUUGAACCGCAUGGUUCAAUAGUUAAAGACGGUUUUGCUGUCACUUAUAGAUGGAUCCGCGCCGCAUUAGCGACUUGGUAAGGUAACGGCAUACCAAGGCAACGAUACGUAGCCGACCUGAUAGGGUGAUCGGCCACACUGGAACGAAGACACGGUCCAGACUCCUACGGGAGGCAGCAGUAUGAAAUAUUCGUCAAUGGACGCAAGCCUGAUCCAGCAAGACCGCGUGAGUGAGGAUGGUCUUGGGAUCGUAAAACUCUGUUAUUAGGGAAGAAAAAAAGUGAAAGGAAGCAUGAACGUGUUGACGGUACCCAAACAGAAGGCUACGGCUAACUACGUG
rnacentral:rRNA from 1 species